CCUACGGGGGGCUGCAGUGAGGAAUAUUGGUCAAUGGGCGGAAGCCUGAACCAGCCAAGUCGCGUGAGGGAGGAAGGCCCUACGGGUCGUAAACCUCUUUUGCCGGGGAGCAGCGCGCAGCACGUGAGCGGGGAGGGAGGGAACCCGGAGAAAAAGCAGGGGCCAACUCGGUGCCAGCAGCCGCGGUAAUCGGGAGGAUGCGCGCGUUACCGGGAUUGAUGGGGUUUCAGGGGGGGGUGGGCGGGCGUUCAGGCCGGCGGUAAACUUGCGGGGCGCACCCCCGCCGGGCCGUGGGAACGGGGGGCCUUUAGUACCGGAGAAGUACGCGGAAUGCGUGGUGUAGCGGU
rnacentral:rRNA from 1 species